CAGUAGCCGCGGUAAUACCGAGGGUGCGAGCGUUAAUCGGAUUUACUGGGCGUAAAGCGUGCGUAGGCGGCUUUUUAAGUCGGAUGUGAAAUCCCUGAGCUUAACUUAGGAAUUGCAUUCGAUACUGGUAAGCUAGAGUAUGGGAGAGGAUGGUAGAAUUCCAGGUGUAGCGGUGAAAUGCGUAGAGAUCUGGAGGAAUACCGAUGGCGAAGGCAGCCAUCUGGCCUAAUACUGACGCUGAGGUACGAAAGCAUGGGGAGCAAACAGGAUUAGAUACCCGAGUAGUCCCUGUCUCUUAUAC
rnacentral:rRNA from 1 species